rnacentral:lncRNA from 1 species
ACCGGAGGCAAGUCUGAGCCCUGGUAUUAUUUUUCAGAAUUAUGACUGAUUAGCAGUUCUAAGAAACCGUGAAAGAAAAGUGAGCUGUUCCAUAAAGGCAUUUGCAUGAAGGAAGCGAGCUGGAAUUUAAUGGUGACGGCAUGGUGGCUUAUGCCUGUGAUACCAGCCCACUGGGAGACGGAAGCAGGAGGAUUACUGUGAGUUCAAAGCCACCCCGAGCUACAUAGUGAGUUCCA